rnacentral:ncRNA from 2 species
AAUACAUAUUUGGGAGUAGGUGCUGAAAAGCCUAACAGAGAAGUCGGUGAAAUGCCGACACGGUCCCGCCACUGUAUGGUUGAGCGAGUUUGAUUAUGUCACUGGGAAACUGGGAAGACCAAAUGAGCGUUGAAGCCGAGUCAGGAGAACUGCCUAUUCAUCAUUCACCAU